GAUGAACGCUGGCGGCGUGCUUAACACAUGCAAGUCGAACGAAGCAUUUAAGACAGAUUUCUUUGGGAUGAAGUUUUUAUGACUGAGUGGCGGACGGGUGAGUAACGCGUGGGUAACCUGCCUCACACAGGGGGAUAGCAGUUGGAAACGACUGGUAAUACCGCAUAAGCACACAGCUUCGCAUGAAGCAGUGUGAAAAACUCCGGUGGUGUGAGAUGGACCCGCGUCUGAUUAGGUAGUUGGUGAGGUAACGGCCCACCAAGCCGACGAUCAGUAGCCGACCUGAGAGGGUGACCGGCCACAUUGGGACUGAGACACGGCCCAGACUCCUACGGGAGCAGCAGUGGGAAUAUUGCACAAUGGAGGAAAACUCUGAUGCAGCGACGCCGCGUGAGCGAAGAAGUAUUCGGUAUGUAAAGCUCUGUCAGCAGGGAAGAUAAAUGACGGUACCUGACCAAGAAGCCCCGG
rnacentral:rRNA from 1 species